CAGUCGCCACGGUAACACAGAGGAUGCAAGCGUUAUCCGGAAUGAUUGGGCGUAAAGCGUCUGUAGGUGGCUCUUCAAGUCCGCCGUCAAAUCCCAGGGCUCAACCCUGGACAGGCGGUGGAAACUACCAAGCUGGAGUACGGUAGGGGCAGAGGGAAUUUCCGGUGGAGCGGUGGAAUGCGUUGAGAUCGGAAAGAACACCAGUGGCGAAGGCGACUCUCUGGUCUGUAACUGACGCUGAGGAGCGAAAGCGUGGGGAGCGAGCAGGAUUAGAUACCCGCGUAGUCCCUGUCUCUUAUAU
rnacentral:rRNA from 1 species